rnacentral:rRNA from 1 species
AUGUGGGUGAUGAUUCUCGGCAGCAAGGGAGAAGCGGCGGACGCCAUCAGGCGCGCGCAGGCUGGUGUGGAGGCGGAGAGCGGCCGCAAAUUGCGCGUGUUGCGCACUGACAACGGCGGCGAAUUCACGGCGGCUGAAUUCGCGUCGUACUACGCCGAUGAGGGCAUCCAGCGCCACUACUCCGCGCCGUACAGCCCGCAGGAAAACGGAGUCGUCGAGCGGCGCAACCAGACGGUUGUGGGGAUGGCUCGGGCUCUCCUCAAGCAGCGAGGGAUGCCGGCUGUUUUCUGGGGAGAGGCGGUGCUGACGGCUGUCUACAUCCUCAACCGCUCGCCUACUAAGGCACUCGACGGCAGGACACCGUAUGAGGCCCGGCAUGGGCGGAAGCCGGCGGUUUCCCAUUUGCGGGUCUUUGGCUGUCUUGCGUUCGCUAAGGAGCUUGGCCACAUCGGCAAGCUCGACGACAGGAGCACUCCGGGAGUCUUCAUCGGCUAUGCGGAGGGCUCAAAGGCCUACCGCAUCCUCGACCCAAAGACACAGCGUGUGCGCACGGCGCGAGACGUUGUGUUCAAUGAAGGGCGAGGGUGGCAAUGGGACAAGGCGGUGGACGACGGCGCAACGCCGAUGUAUGACGACUUCAUUGUCGAGUACGCUCACUUCAAGGAAGCCGGGGGAGCAAGCAGCUCCUCUCCGCCGAGCACGUCUACCCCGGCCCCCAAAACUACAUCGACUCCGGUGCCCGCUACGCCGGCGACACCACAACUGGCGACGCCGCAUACUCCAGCCCCGGCGGUCACCACUCCGGGUUCGUCCUCAUCAGCACCAGCUCACGCAGAGCACAACCCGAUGAAGUUCGCUUCCCCGCUCACUCACUACGAGGAGCGGGUCGACGCGUGGUAUGGAGGCGAACAGCUGCGCUAUCGCACGAUGGAUGAUCUACUCGGCGACCAGCCGGUGCCGGGACUGAUGCCACGUGACCUGGAGGUGCAGCUACAACUCGCGUGUGAGGACGCCAAACCACGGUCCUUUGCAGAGGCCGAGAGAGAUGCGGCAUGGCGCGCCGCGAUGCAGUUGGAGAUGGAUGCGGUCAAGCAAAACCGCACCUGGGAGCUCGCUGACCUCCCCCGUGGUCAUCGCGCAAUCACCCUUAAGUGGGUGUUCAAGCUGAAGAGGGAUGGAGCCGGCGCCAUCAUCAAGCACAAGGCUCGCCUGGUGGCCCGAGGCUUCUUGCAGCAGGAAGGAGUCGACUUCGACGACGCCUUCGCUCCCGUGGCACGGAUGGAGUCCGUGCGACUUCUCCUUGCGCUGGCUGCCCAGGAGGGCUGGCGUGUCCAUCACAUGGAUGUCAAGUCGGCAUUCCUCAAUGGUGACUUGAAGGAGGAAGUCUACGUGCAUCAGCCACCGGGUUUUGCGAUUCCCGGCCAGGAGGGCAAGGUACUCCGCCUGCGCAAGGCCCUCUAUGGCCUACAGCAGGCACCUAGGGCGUGGAACGCCAAGCUGGACUCCACGCUAAAGAAGAUGGGCUUCGAGCAAAGCCCGCAUGAGGCCGCUGUCUACCGACGGGGCAGUGGAGGAAAUGCCCUGCUGGUGGGCGUCUAUGUUGACGACUUGGUGAUCACCGGCACCAAAGAUGCAGAGGUAGCGGCAUUCAAGGAAGACAUGAAGGCCACCUUCCAGAUGAGUGAUCUGGGGCUCCUCUCCUUCUAUCUAGGGAUUGAGGUGCACCAGGAUCACUCCGGGAUCACGCUUCGACAGUCCGCCUACGCCAAGUGCAUCGUUGAGCUAGCUGGGCUCACCGGCUGCCAUCCAGCUCUCACUCCGAUGGAGGAGAGGCUGAAACUGAGCCGCGACAGCACGACGGAGGAAGUGGAUGCUACGUAG